GAAUGAUUGGGGAGGCGGCUCACAAGCUCGGGAGUCAGUUUACCAGCGAGCAAGAAAGCGUCUUGGUGUUGCUGUCCUGGAUGAUUCUGAUCAUGAGAUGCCUGACAGCACAGAGGGUGCUUUGCCUGCAGUGACAAACGAUCACGACUAUGCCUGCCGUCCUUCUCCUGGUAAACUGGACAGUGCUACUCAAAGAAUUCGAGAGUUGGAGC